rnacentral:rRNA from 1 species
AUAAUGGAGAGUUUGAUCCUGGCUCAGGACGAACGCUGGCGGCGUGCCUAAUACAUGCAAGUCGAGCGGAGAUAGUGGAGCUUGCUCCAUUAUCUUAGCGGCGGACGGGUGAGUAACACGUGGGCAACCUGCCCUGCAGAUCGGGAUAACUCCGGGAAACCGGUGCUAAUACCGAAUAGUUUGCGGCCUCUCAUGAGGCUGCACGGAAAGACGGUUUCGGCUGUCACUGCAGGAUGGGCCCGCGGCGCAUUAGCUAGUUGGUGAGGUAACGGCUCACCAAGGCCACGAUGCGUAGCCGACCUGAGAGGGUGAUCGGCCACACUGG